rnacentral:rRNA from 1 species
AACGAACGCUGGCGGCAUGCCUAAUACAUGCAAGUCGAACGAGAUCUUCGGAUCUUGUGGCGCACGGGUGCGUAACGCGUGGGAAUAUGCCCUUGGGCUCGGAAUAACUUCUGGACACGGAAGCUAAUACCGGAUGCUGACGUAAGUACAAAGAUUUAUCGCGCAAGGAUGAGCCCGCGUAGGAUUAGGUAGUUGGUGAGGUAAAGGCUCACCAAGCCGACGAUCCUUAGCUGGUCUGAGAGGAUGAUCAGCCACACUGGGACUGAGACACGGCCCAGACUCCUACGGGAGGCAGCAGUAGGGAAUAUUGGACAAUGGGCGAAAGCCUGAUCCAGCAAUGCCGCGUGAGUGAUGAAGGCCUUAGGGUUGUAAAGCUCUUUUACCCGUGAUGAUAAUGACAGUACCGGGAGAAUAAGCUCCGGCUAACUCCGUG